GACGAACGCUGGCGGCGUGCUUAACACAUGCAAGUCGAGCGGUAAGGCCCUUUCGGGGGUACGACGAGCGGCGAACGGGUGAGUAACACGUGGGUGACCUGCCCUCAGCUCUGGGAUAAGCCUGGGAAACCGGGUCUAAUACUGGAUAUGACUCCAUGACGCAUGUUGUGGGGUGGAAAGCCUUGUGCGGCUGAGGAUGGGCCCGCGGCCUAUCAGCUAGUUGGCGGGGUAACGGCCCACCAAGGCGACGAUGGGUAGCCGAUCUGAGAGGAUGACCGGCCACACUGGGACUGAGAUACGGCCCAGACUCCUACGGGAGGGCAGCAGUCGAGAGGCUUCGGCAA
rnacentral:rRNA from 1 species